rnacentral:lncRNA from 1 species
AGGGUCAUCUGUGAGUACCCUAAGGUUUCUGUCUAGGGUUCGGGAAGUGAGAAGGUGAGCUACGAGUAUCGUGAGUCCAUCAAAUUUUAGAAAGAGCUUCAUCAUCCUAUCUACUAUCUCUGCUGAUGAUCCAGAAUAUUUAAAAAAUCGACAGACAUCGAUCGAAAGAGUUCGAUCAGCAUCAGCUGUCGAAAGGGUUCUACAACGAACUAGCAUUCGUGAGGAGCC